GUGGGCUACGGGGACAUGUACCCCAUGACGGUCGGGGGCAAGAUCGUGGGCUCCCUGUGCGCCAUCGCUGGGGUCCUCACCAUCGCCCUGCCCGUGCCCGUCAUCGUCUCCAAC
rfam:Oryctolagus cuniculus chromosome 8, whole genome shotgun sequence.